GAUGAACGCUAGCUACAGGCUUAACACAUGCAAGUCGAGGGGUAACAAGAGAAAAGCUUGCUUUUCUUGUUGACGACCGGCGCACGGGUGAGUAACGCGUAUCCAACCUGCCCAUAACUAGGGAAUAACCUUGCGAAAGUAAGACUAAUACCCUAUAAUUUCCUUUGACGGCAUCUGACGAGGAAUAAAGAUUUAUCGGUUAUGGAUGGGGAUGCGUCUGAUUAGCUCGUUGGCGGGGUAACGGCCCACCAAGGCAACGAUCAGUAGGGGUUUUGAGAGGAAGGUCCCCCACAGUGGAAGUGAGACACGGUCCAAACUCCUACAGGAGGCAGCAGUGAGGAAUAUUGGUCAAUGGGCGGAAGCCUGAACCAGCCAAGUAACGUGCAGGAUGACGGCCCUAUGGGUUGUAAACUGCUUUUAUACAGGAAUAAAGUUAGCCACGUGUGGUUAUUUGUAGGUACUGUAUGAAUAAGGACCGGCUAAUUCCGUGCCAGCCGCCGCCGUAA
rnacentral:rRNA from 1 species